rnacentral:rRNA from 1 species
GAGUUUGAUCAUGGCCAGGAUGAACGCUAGCGGCAGGCCUAACACAUGCAAGUCGAGGGGUAGAGGCUUUCGGGCCUUGAGACCGGCGCACGGGUGCGUAACGCGUAUGCAAUCUGCCUUAUACUAAGGGAUAGCCCAGAGAAAUUUGGAUUAAUACCUUAUAGUAUAUAGAUGUGGCAUCACAUUUAUAUUAAAGAUUUAUCGGUAUAAGAUGAGCAUGUGUCCCAUUAGCUAGUUGGUAUGGUAACGGCAUACCAAGGCAAUGAUGGGUAGGGGUCCUGAGAGGGAGAUCCCCCACACUGGUACUGAGACACGGACCAGACUCCUACGGGAGGCAGCAGUGAGGAAUAUUGGUCAAUGGGCGCAAGCCUGAACCAGCCAUGCCGCGUGCAGGAUGACGGUCCUAUGGAUUGUAAACUGCUUUUGUACGGGAAGAAACAACUCUUCGUGAAGAGUCUUGACGGUACCGUAAGAAUAAGGAUCGGCUGACUCCGUGCCAGCAGCGCGGUAA